CCUACGGGUGGCAGCAGUGGGGAAUAUUGCACAAUGGGGGAAACCCUGAUGCAGCGACGCCGCGUGAGUGAAGAAGUAAUUCGUUACGUAAAGCUCUAUCAUCCGGGAAGAAAAUUACGGUACCUGAGUCAGAAGCCCCUACUAACUACGUGCCAGCAGCCGCGGUAAUACGGAGGAGGCAAGCGUUAUCCGGAUUUACUGGGUGUAAAGGGAUCGUAGACGGUGGGGAAAGUAGUGGGUGAAAUGCCGCGUCUAAACUGGGGAACUGCUUUGGAAACUGGCGAACUAGAGUGCGGGAGGGGUAAGCGGAAUGCGUAGUGUAGCGGUGAAAUGCGUAGAUAUUAGACGGAACACCGAUGGCGAAGGCGGCUUACGGGACCGUAACUGACGUUGAGGCUCGAAAGCGUGGGGAGCAAACAGGAUUAGAUACCCUGGUAGUC
rnacentral:rRNA from 1 species